UUCGUAGAGCUUUGUAUAAGCUUCAAGCCAUAAUUUCCUCCCUUAUUGCUCCGAACAAGCACAACUAAUCUCCUUCUUGCUAAUUCUCAAUUGCCUCAGUCCAACCAAAUCAGUUUAUUCACAUAUAUAUGUAUAUUCAAGUUCUGAGAAUGCAAAAUAAUUUCAUAACUUACCCUUUUACUUGCUUCCUAAUAUGAAUUACUUGGAGCCACAACCCUGCUAUCCUUCUUUACUUGCCGAUUGAUGAUAUCUUCAAUCCAGUAUGUUUUAUUUCUUUACUCAAUUUGAUGAUUAUAAGGAAUCCCAAGAAGAUUUUGUCAUUUGGUCGGAGUGUAUAUGAUUAGAGAAGGAGGAAAAUGGAAUGGAACGGGUCUGAUAGGAAGUACAUUUAGCAGAGGAGUUGGCUCUCUAAUAACUUCCACUAAGUCUUCAGUUUUAAUGUUAAAGCUACAUUAUAUGAUAACAGCUCAUGUUAUAAGCCUGGCUUAGUGUAUUGUUAAGGCUUCCCAUCAAUCAUCAUGCCACCUCCUGCUUACUAGCUGAAUCAGCCUAAAUCACUAACUUAGCUCUGUUUUAGCUUCUUGAAGUCCCA
rnacentral:lncRNA from 1 species